rnacentral:rRNA from 1 species
CAAUAGCGUAUAUUAAUGUUGUUGCAGUUAAAAAGCUCGUAGUUGGAUUUCUGGUGGGAGCGGCCGGUCCGCCGUAAGGUGUGUACUUGGUUGUCUCCUGUCAUCCUUGUGGGAACUGCUCUGGCAUUAAGUUGUCGGGGUUAGGGAACACAUCGUUUACUGUGAAAAAAUUAGAGUGUUUAAAGCAGGCUUAUGCCGUUGAAUACAUUAGCAUGGAAUAAUAAGAUAGGACUUUGGCGUCUAUUUUGUUGGUUUGCACACCAAGGUAAUGAUUAAUAGGGAUAGUUGGGGGUAUUCGUAUUUAAUUGUCAGAGGUGAAAUUCUUGGAUUUAUGAAAGACGAACUUCUGCGAAAGCAUUUGCCAAGGAUGUUUUCAUUAA